rnacentral:rRNA from 1 species
CCUACGGGAGGCAGCAGUGGGGAAUAUUGGGCAAUGAGCGCAAGCCUGACCCAGCAACGCCGCGUGAAGGAAGAAGGCUUUCGGGUUGUAAACUUCUUUUGUCAGGGACGAAGCAAGAGACGGUACCUGACGAAUAAGCCACGGCUAACUACGUGCCAGCAGCCGCGGUAAUACGUAGGUGGCAAGCGUUCUCCGGAUUUACUGGGUGUAAAGGGCGUGUAGGCGGGACUGCAAGUCAGAUGGGAAAACCACGGGCUCAACCUGUGGCCUGCAUUUGAAACUGUAGUUCUUGAGUACUGGAGAGGCAGACGGAAUGCCUAGUGUAGCGGUGAAAUGCGUAGAUAUUAGGAGGAACACCAGUGGCGAAGGCGGUCUGCUGGACCGCAACUGACGCUGAGGCGCGAAAGCGUGGGUAGCAAACAGGAUUAGAUACCCGUGUAGUC